rnacentral:lncRNA from 1 species
CCUGGCGUGUCUCUCUAUGACGUGUUUGAACAUUUGCAUUCAAAUCGAUGUCUUUCUGUUUUGCAUAUUUCAGACAAUUCAACACAAAUGUAUUAUGUCAAACUGAUAAUAGAGGAAAGUGCAAUCGCAAACAUAACUGAGACACUGAGCGAGACCUUUGUGAGCAACACACACCUGAAGGUCGACAACCUUCAAACGACAACGACGUGUCAGAGCGUCCCGGACGGCGCCGAGUGCAGCUGCACGCCGGGCUUCAGGUGGAGCGAGACGGUCUGUCAGGAGAACACGUGCACCUUCCCCGGCAACAACACACACACCUGUGUUUCUAACACCACAGUCUCUAUAAAUGGAUCCCUUUUUCUGAACGGGGGGGGGCAUCACAACUGUCUGAAACUAAAAGACUCAAACAAAUUCCAGGAGUGUAACAACAAACUGUUAAAACAGAUGAGAACCGUGUACAGCACUUUGCCAGGAUUUAACACCCUAACGAUUAUAAAAUACAGGGUCGGAAGCGUCAUCGCUGACUUUGAAUUGAACUUUGUUCAAAGCAUCAACCAGCAAGAUUUGAUAAAAAGAUCAGAGAAUCUGAGCAGCAGUCUGUCAGCGUCACUGUCUCUGGAGACUACAGGUGUUGUCCAGUUAAGCCUUCUGUCUCAAAGCCCUGUGUGCAACGAGAAGCACACCCUCAAGUGCACGUUACGGGAGACCCUGAACGCACCACCAGUGUGGCAGCUGAGAAGUAACAACAGAGUAAUAGAGAUAUAUAACGGCACAGAGGCGAUAGUGGUAACUGAACCACAGGAGACCAGGGUCACACUCACAGUCCUUUCUAAACUCUGGGAAGGUUUGUUUCACACUUUAUUCUCAGAGUCAACACGUACACGUACAGUAAGUACUUUACUUACACUACAAAAACAAAAGAUGAGUGAACAAAGCCCUCUGCACAAAGCUUCAGAAUAUAGAGAGGAAUGA